UUCGCAAUGCCCGAAAGGGUGACGAUGCGACGCCGCGUGAGCGAAGAAGGCCCUAGGGUUGUAAAGCUCUGUCGAGGGUUAUGAAAUAUAGAUGGGUUAAUACCCCAUUUAUUUGACAAAAGCCCAAAAGGAAGCCACGGCUAACUCUGUGCCAGCAGCCGCGGUAAUACAGAGGUGGCGAGCGUUGUUCGGUAUUAUUGGGCGUAAAGAGCACGUAGGUGGUUUUGUAAGUCAGGUGUGAAAGCCUUCUGUUCAAAGGAAGAACGGCAUCUGAAACUGCAUAUCUUGAGUGUAGGAGGGGAGAGUGGAACUUCUGGUGGAGCGGUGAAAUGCGUAGAUAUCAGAAGGAACGUCGGCGGCGAAAGCGACUCUCUGGCCUAUUAUUGACACUGAGGUGCGAAAGUUAGGGGAGCAAACGGGAUUAGAUACCCCGGUAGUCCUAACCGUAAACGAUGGGCACUAAGUAGAGGGGUUUU
rnacentral:rRNA from 1 species